rnacentral:rRNA from 1 species
AAUGAUAUGCUUGUCUCAAAGAUUAAGCCAUGCAAGUGUCAGUUCAUACCUUCAUAUGGUGAAACCGCGAAUGGCUCAUUAAAUCAGCUAUAAUUCCUUAGAUCUUACGUUUAUACUUGGAUAACCGUAGUAAUUCUAGAGCUAAUACACGGUCCACUUGACGGAGAGAAAGCUCGCUUUAUCACCGUCGGACUUAUUAGUUCAAAAGUCAACCGGCCUCUGGCUGUAGAUUUUUGAGAACUCUGGAUAAUUUACUAGAUCGUAUGGCCCUGUGCCGACGACGUAUCUUUCAAGUAUCUGACCUAUCAGCUUGAUGGUGGGAGCUUUGCCUACCAUGGCUAUAACGGGUAACGGGGAAUCAGGGUUCGAUUCCGGAGAGGGAGCCUUAGAAACGGCUACCACAUCUAAGGAAGGCAGCAGGCGCGCAAAUUACCCACUUGCAGUGCAAGGCAGAGGUAGUGACAAUAAAUAACAAUGCAGAACUCUUUUGAGGCUCUGCAAUUGGAAUGAGAACAAUUUAAAUCCUUUAACGAGGAUCAAUUGGAGGGCAAGUCUGGUGCCAGCAGCCGCGGUAAUUCCAGCUCCAAUAGCGUAUAUUAAAAUUGUUGCGGUUAAAAAGCUCGUAGUUGGAUUUCAGAUGGAGUUCUGAGUCGACUCAUUAGAGUUGUACUUGGAUAAUCUGUCUCGUAAGCCGCCAUGUUGAAUUGAUCGCACUUAAUUGUGUGUCUUUUCGCACGGCAUGUUUACUUAGAGAAAAUUAGAGUGCUCAAAGCAGACCAUUUUAUGAGUCUGAAUAGUUAUGCUUGGAAUAAUGGAAGAGGACUUGGUUACUAUUUGUUGAUUUUCAGUAAACCAAGUAAUGAUUAACAGGGGUAGUACGGGGGCAGAAGUAUGGUCGCGCGAGGGGUGAAAUCCAUCGACCGUGGCCAGACUAUCUACUGCGAAAGCAUCUGCCAAGUAUGUUUUCAUUAAUCAAGAACGAAAGUCAGAGCCUCAAAGACGAUCAGAUACCGUCGUAGUUCUGACCAUAAACUAUGCCAACUGCCUAUUAGAACCAUUUAAUUUUAAAUGUUCUGGCAGUCCCCGGGAAACCUUCAAGUGAGGUUCCGGGGGGAAUAUGGUCGCAAGACUGAAACUUAAAGGAAUUGACGGAAGGGCACCACCAGGAGUGGAGCCUGCGGCUUAAUUUGACUCAACACGGGAAAACUCACCCGGCCCGGACACUGUGAGGAUUGACAGACUGAUAGCUCUUUCUUGAUUCGGUGGUUGGUGGUGCAUGGCCGUUCUUAGUUGGUGGAGUGAUUUGUCUGGUUAAUUCCGAUAACGAACGAGACUCUGGCUUGCUAAAUAGAUAACGGAUUCCGUUGCUUUGCAUCGGUAAUGUGGAUAGACUUCUUAGAGGGAUUAGCUAUACUUAAUUAGCAUGAAAUAGAGCAAUAACAGGUCUGUGAUGCCCUUAGAUGUUCGGGGCUGCACGCGCGCUACAAUGACAAUCUCAAAAAGAUAUUGCCCUGGCCAGAAAUGGUUGGGAAACCUUUGGAAAGAUUGUCACGUCAGGGAUCAGGGUUUGUAAUUAUCCCCUGUGAACGAGGAAUUCCUAGUAAACGCAAGUCAUCAACUUGCGCUGAUUACGUCCCUGCCCUUUGUACACACCGCCCGUCGCUACUACCGAUUGGAUGUUUGAGUGAGAUUCUUGGAUCGGAGAGCAGUGGAUGGCUUUGCUGUCUGUGUUUCUUUGAGAAGAGAAUCAAAUUUAACUAUCUAGAGGAAGUAAAAGUCGUAACAAGGUUUCC